rnacentral:rRNA from 1 species
UUGAAGCCUAGCGAUAUGUAAGUUAGUGGCGGACGGGUGAGUAACGCGUGGGUAACCUGCCUUGUACUGGGGGACAACAGUUGGAAACGACUGCUAAUACCGCAUAAGCGCACAGCACCGCAUGGUGCAGUGUGAAAAACUCCGGUGGUGUGAGAUGGAUCCGCGUCUGAUUAGCUUGUUGGCGGGGUAACGGCCCACCAAGGCGACGAUCAGUAGCCGGUCUGAGAGGAUGAACGGCCACAUUGGGACUGAGACACGGCCCAGACUCC